rnacentral:rRNA from 1 species
UACAGAGGUCCCUAGCGUUGUUCGGAUUUAUUGGGUUUAAAGGGAGCGCAGGCGGAAGAUUAAGCGUGACGUGAAAUGUCCCGGCUCAACCGUGGAACUGCGUCGCGAACUGGUUUUCUUGAGUGAGUACGACGGAGGCGGAAUUCGUGGUGUAGCGGUGAAAUGCUUAGAUAUCACGAAGAACCCCGAUUGCGAAGGCAGCCUCCGAGUCCUUAACUGGCGCUAAAGCUCGAAAGUGCGGGUAUCGAAC